AUUGAACGCUGGCGGCAGGCCUAACACAUGCAAGUCGAACGGUAACAGGAAGAAGCUUACUUCUUUGCUGACGAGUGGCGGACGGGUGAGUAAUGUCUGGGAAACUGCCUGAUGGAGGGGGAUAACUACUGGAAACGGUAGCUAAUACCGCAUAACGUCGCAAGACCAAAGAGGGGGACCUUCGGGCCUCUUGCCAUCGGAUGUGCCCAGAUGGGAUUAGCUUGUUGGUGGGGUAACGGCUCACCAAGGCGACGAUCCCUAGCUGGUCUGAGAGGAUGACCAGCCACACUGGAACUGAGACACGGUCCAGACUCCUACGGGAGGCAGCAGUGGGGAAUAUUGCACAAUGGGCGCAAGCCUGAUGCAGCCAUGCCGCGUGUAUGAAGAAGGCCUUCGGGUUAUAAAGUACUUUCAGCGGGGAGGAAGGGAGUAAAGUUAAUACCUUUGCUCAUUGACGUUACCCGCAGAAGAAGCACCGGCUAACUCCGUG
rnacentral:rRNA from 1 species